rnacentral:rRNA from 1 species
UACGUAGGGAGCAAGCGUUGUCCGGAAUCAUUGGGCGUAAAGCGCGCGUAGGUGGCCUCAUAAGUCCGCUGUGAAAGUCAAAGGCUCAACCUUUGAAAGCCGGUGGAUACUGUGAGGCUAGAGUACGGAAGAGGCGAGUGGAAUUCCUGGUGUAGCGGUGGAAUGCGCAGAUAUCAGGAAGAACACCCGUGGCGAAGGCGGCUCUCUGGGACGGUACUGACGCUGAGACGCGAAAAGCGUGGGGGAGCGAACAGG